GGGGGUUAGCGCAGUGGUAGCGCAUCUGUCUUGGGAGCAGAGGGUCGCGAGUUNNNUUUUUAAGCGGCUCCUCAGCACACU
rnacentral:tRNA from 1 species